rnacentral:ncRNA from 1 species
AAAGUUUUAUUAUGGCUUUGGAUUUGAUUUAUUGAUUGUUAUAUAUACUAAUUUUAGUGGGAUUGAUUGCUCUAAAUGAGUGCUUGUUUAAUGUAGUAUAUAGAUUUGAGUAUUAAUUUAUAUUAGACUUAGUGAUUUAAUUUUGUACAAACAAAAUUUGUGCCAGCAGUAGCGGUUAUACAAAUUGUGCAAUUCAAAUUUUUUGAGUUUAAUUGGGAGUGAAAUUUUAAAUUUAUAUCUAGAUUUUUUAGGUGAAAUUUUAAAUUUGGUUUAAAUUUGUUUUUUGUUUCUGAAGUUAGGAAGUCUAUUUUUAAACUAGGAUUAGAUACCCUAUUAUUUUAGAGGUGAAUAUUUUCUUAAAUUAUUAUUAGUUAUGGUCUUUAAAAUUAAAGAAUUUGGCGGUAUUUUAGUCUGUUCAGAGGAACCUGUUUUUUAAUCGAUAGUCCACGAUAAUUUUUACUUUAUUAAUAUGUUUAUAUAUCGUUGUUUAUAAAAAUUUUAUUAGAAUUAUAAUUUUUGAGAUAUUUUAUUAAAUUAUAUUUCAGAUCAAGGUGUAGCUUUUAUUAAAGUUAAAAUGGGUUACAUUAUAGUUAUAUGUGGUUUUUAAAUUUUGAAUUUGAGAUAAAAUGGAUUUGAUAGUAAAUCACUAAUUUUUGGUUUUUGAUUUAGCUCUAAAAUAUGCACAUAUCGCCCGUCGCUUUCAUUAUAAGAUGGAAUAAGUCGUAACAAAGUAGGCUUAUUGGAAGAUGAGCCUGGAAUGA